AACUGAGACACGGUCCAGACUCCUACGGGAGGCAGCAGUAGGGAAUCUUCCGCAAUGGGCGAAAGCCUGACGGAGCAACGCCGCGUGAGUGAUGAAGGUCUUCGGAUCGUAAAACUCUGUUGUUAGGGAAGAACAAAUUUGUUAGUAACUGAACAAGUCUUGACGGUACCUAACCAGAAAGCCACGGCUAACUACGUGCCAGCAGCCGCGGUAAUACGUAGGUGGCAAGCGUUAUCCGGAAUUAUUGGGCGUAAAGCGCGCGUAGGCGGUUUCUUAAGUCUGAUGUGAAAGCCCACGGCUCAACCGUGGAGGGUCAUUGGAAACUGGGAAACUUGAGUGCAGAAGAGGAGAGUGGAAUUCCAUGUGUAGCGGUGAAAUGCGCAGAGAUAUGGAGGAACACCAGUGGCGAAGGCGGCUCUCUGGUCUGUAACUGACGCUGAUGUGCGAAAGCGUGGGGAUCAAACAGGAUUAGAUACCCUGGUAGUCCACGCCGUAAACGAUGAGUGCUAAGUGUUAGGGGGUUUCCGCCCCUUAGUGCUGCAGCUAACG
rnacentral:rRNA from 1 species